rnacentral:lncRNA from 1 species
CUAUUAUCGGCGGCGUAACAGGCCUUUUGGUAACUUCAAGGAUAUUAUUGGACUAGUAUGUGCCCUCUGUCAGUGCAUUUUUGCUGCAAUUCAUUAUAGUUUUGCUCGCCGACAUGCUGAUUCUCCGAUAAAAAUUUAUUUCUGGCCUUUGGUGUUUGCUUUUGGUCUAUUAUGCUUCAAGGGUUUAGCCAAGUAAUUAAUCCAAAGAGGGCUAUUUCAUUGAGAUGAGACGCUCGCUUCAGUGCAUAUGUUUCAUCGGACAAUGAAUUGCUCCAACUUUAGGCAUUUUCGUAUGUAAACUAUAUGACUUAAUCUGUUUCUUUUUCUUUUGAAUUGGUGUGUACGUCAACAUGGGUUUGGUUUUUGAGAGUACAAAUUCAGAUAGAAGUUUUCUGCUCUUCAAAAAUCUGCACUAAAUUGCUAUACGCAUCCGCUGUGAAAUGACUGAUAUAAGUAGUACAUACAUUUCAUUUUUGAAUGCUUGAAUUGAAAUCAAGUUUAUUUUAAAAUUAAGCAAACAAGAAACACCAUGAUGUUGUGGACUGCCCUAUUUGCUCACCAAGAGCUCAAGACAAAGCCAAGAGUGAUAGCUUGACCCAAUUCCGGAAAGUUCUAGGCAACUCUAGCACAUUAAGCUUGUAAAUACUCUAGAAUUCUCUAUGCAUUUUCAGCACAUGUAAAUUCUAGAUAGUUGGUAGAUUUCUCUAGAAUCUCUAGAGCUUGGCAAGCCUCCCCUAUAAAUAUGGGAUGGCAUUAGGCAUUUGUACACAACAACAAGCAUUGAGCAAGCAACUCAAGCAUUGUAAAGCUCUCUUGUAAUCUCUCUUGUUAGCAAUACAAUUUCUCUCAUUUGGCUCCAUUGCUCUCUUCUCUCUAGCUCUUCGAAAACCUUUAGCUUAGCUAGUUGAGAAGCUCAAGGAUUACUUAACAACAUUCGGCAAAGUUGUCUAAGUGCCGCACGGGUUAGCUGCGCAAAACACUCAUCCCGUGACAAGUGGUAUCAGAGCUAAGGUUUGCACCCACGCAAGUUAGCUCACGAGCAAUGGCCAACACUUCGAAUCUAGCACAAUGAAUUAACCUGUGCAGAGAGAUCGAUCACAUCAGACACAUCUGCUUACCACAGAAGCAGAGUUGGGCUCAACAUCACCACUCCCAUCGCAUAUCAACUCACCAUCGCCGGCCCGAUCGCCUUCAUGGGCUCAGCCAUGUCCUCCAGACUCAGCCACGUCCUCCACACUCACCACGUCCUCCACGUCCUCCCCACACCCCACACUCCCCAUAAUCACCACGUCCUCCAUACAUCGGCUGCAGGUGAACUCUCUUCCUUUAUUUUCUCGGGCUUUCACAUGGAUAGUUACGUGUACUAUAUUGUUUUACCCGUGAGGCUGCCGCUGAAUUUUUUGAAUUAUAUAGAAUAAUGAUGCAUGUAGCUGUAUAUACUAAUUAGUGUAACAUGACCCAACCAAAAAAGAAAAAAAAAACUUUUGUCUUAUAAUAAUAAUUUUUUUGUCCUAUAAUGAUGGUGGACUAACUGUAGUAAAUAUAUCAUUAUUCAUUACUGAAUUAUGUAUACCGAGAAAAUAGAUUUCACUUUUAUUGUUUACGAGCAUAGAUGAUCAAAUUUAUACAUAAUUAUAUUACACAAAUGCUCUUUAAGUUCACAAAAUAAUUUGUAUAAUAUCAAUGUGAAAGUGCUUGGAAUAUAAUUGUUGUUUUCUUAUCUAAUGAAAUCACUGAAUUUUGUGAACUAAAAAAGAAUUUUAGUGAGCGCAUUAAAUUUUAAACCACUAAACAGUAUUUAGAAGUUAUAAAUGUCGUUUUUCUGAAUUUUAUUCUUGAAGGCCAAUUGGUCAUAGAAUUAUCUUGUUUUUGAAGCUAUACUUAUUCUUCUAAUUAAGGUAAUUUUCAGUUGCUUACCGGAACACCAUGAGUUUAUUUUACGUUUUUUCUACAUAGGACGUUGAUUUAGAGUGGAUCUUUGUAAUCACCAACUUUGUCCUGGAGAUUCCAUCGGCUCUUUUUGACCAACUCUCUUCUGCGCGGAAAUCUCAGUAUGUGCUUUUGAGUAUGUUAUUGUCAUUUGCAGCCCUGGUUGUAUGCAUUGUAGAACUCGUUUACAAAUGCCAAAAGCAAAAAGCUGUGUGGAGAUGGAAGGGUAUAUUAACUUGGCCUUGGUUCUAUUAUCGGCGGCGUAACAGGCCUUUUGGUAACUUCAAGGAUAUUAUUGGACUAGUAUGUGCCCUCUGUCAGUGCAUUUUUGCUGCAAUUCAUUAUAGUUUUGCUCGCCGACAUGCUGAUUCUCCGAUAAAAAUUUAUUUCUGGCCUUUGGUGUUUGCUUUUGGUCUAUUAUGCUUCAAGGGUUUAGCCAAGUAAUUAAUCCAAAGAGGGCUAUUUCAUUGAGAUGAGACGCUCGCUUCAGUGCAUAUGUUUCAUCGGACAAUGAAUUGCUCCAACUUUAGGCAUUUUCGUAUGUAAACUAUAUGACUUAAUCUGUUUCUUUUUCUUUUGAAUUGGUGUGUACGUCAACAUGGGUUUGGUUUUUGAGAGUACAAAUUCAGAUAGAAGUUUUCUGCUCUUCAAAAAUCUGCACUAAAUUGCUAUACGCAUCCGCUGUGAAAUGACUGAUAUAAGUAGUACAUACAUUUCAUUUUUGAAUGCUUGAAUUGAAAUCAAGUUUAUUUUAAAAUUAAGCAAACAAGAAACACCAUGAUGUUGUGGACUGCCCUAUUUGCUCACCAAGAGCUCAAGACAAAGCCAAGAGUGAUAGCUUGACCCAAUUCCGGAAAGUUCUAGGCAACUCUAGCACAUUAAGCUUGUAAAUACUCUAGAAUUCUCUAUGCAUUUUCAGCACAUGUAAAUUCUAGAUAGUUGGUAGAUUUCUCUAGAAUCUCUAGAGCUUGGCAAGCCUCCCCUAUAAAUAUGGGAUGGCAUUAGGCAUUUGUACACAACAACAAGCAUUGAGCAAGCAACUCAAGCAUUGUAAAGCUCUCUUGUAAUCUCUCUUGUUAGCAAUACAAUUUCUCUCAUUUGGCUCCAUUGCUCUCUUCUCUCUAGCUCUUCGAAAACCUUUAGCUUAGCUAGUUGAGAAGCUCAAGGAUUACUUAACAACAUUCGGCAAAGUUGUCUAAGUGCCGCACGGGUUAGCUGCGCAAAACACUCAUCCCGUGACAAGUGGUAUCAGAGCUAAGGUUUGCACCCACGCAAGUUAGCUCACGAGCAAUGGCCAACACUUCGAAUCUAGCACAAGAGGGUGUGGUUGGUGUGGAUGUUCCACCGGAACCAAGCCGCGACCGUGAGGGAGAACGCGCCCAAGGCAAGACUCGCAGCAAGUCCAAGGCCCCAUCCGUGGAUGCGUUGGAGCCUCGUGUGACUACUCUUGAAAUCGCAUUGUCCGCCGCUCAAGAUAGCCUCGAGGGAUUAGAGGAAUGAGUGGACGGUCUCGAGGGGGAAUACGCCGAGUUCACGGUGGCAACAAAAGCCCUCAUCCAAGAGCAAGCGAAUACUCUCCGAGGUGAGUUUCGUUCUUUUCAUGAUGAGUUGCUCAAACUUCGUAGCUUUGUUCAAGAUGAACUACGCGAUGUCCGUGCGGAAGUGGAUGAAGUCCGCUCGGAUUGGGCAUGGCACAAGCACACACUGUCCGCUAGUCCAGCUUCUGCAAGCACAAGUGAUGCGCGCCGCAUUGACGUGCCAAAGCCCGACACCUACGAUGGCACACGCAAUGCCACCAUCGUGGACAAUUUUCUCUUUGGGCUUGAUCAAUACUUCGAUGCCAUGGGUGUCCGAGAUGAGGCAUCGAAAGUGGGCACAACACCCACCUAUCUUCGAGGCGUUGCACAACUAUGGUGGCGUCGCAAGCAUGGCAAGAUGGGUAAGGGCAUUUGCACCAUUGACACUUGGGCCGACUUCAAGCAAGAACUCCGAAAAUAGUUUGCCCCAAGCAAUGCGGAGAAGGAAACACGAGCGCGCCUACGUCGCCUCAAGCAAUCGAGUAGCAUACAGGACUACAUCAAUGAGUUCACUACCCUUAUGUUGGAGAUAAACGACAUGUCGACAAGGAUUCGCCCUUCUAUUUCCAAGAUGGCCUCAAGGAUUGGGCCAUGACAGAGCUCGAUAGGCGGGGUGUUCAAACACUUGACGACGCCAUUGCCAUUGCGGAGUCGCUCACCGAAUACUCUACCCAAUCCAAGGACAAAAAGGCCAACCAAGGCAAAGGUGGGGGAGAGAGCCGCAAGGACAAGGGUAACAACCGCAAAGAUUGGGGGGCAGAAGAAGCCGCCUAGCAACAAGAGUGGGCAAGGAAAAUCGGAGGGCAAGGAGGCACCGAAGCCACGCAGCCCAUGCUUCAUAUGCAAUGGUCCUCAUUGGGUACGCGACUGUCCGAAGAAGAAGUCGCUCAAUGCUCUUGCUGCCCAACUCAAGAGCAACCCCACAAUGUCCACGGAAGAAUCUCAACUCAGCAUGGGUUCUCUCCAACGCCUCGGCGCACUCAAUCGCCAACAACCCACACUUGUCAAGAAAGGGCUCAUGUAUGUAAGCGCAAAGGUAAACGGUCAGUUCGUUCGUACGAUGCUAGACACGGGAGCGACGUACAACUUUGUGUCCGUAGACGAGGCCAAGCGCUUAGGCCUCAAGGCCACCAAGGAAUGAGGCACGAUGAAGGCUGUGAACUCACCCGCCAAGCCAAUUGCGGGAAUCGUACAAGGCGUGCACAUCGCACUCGGUACGUGGAGCGGAAAGCUUGACUUCUCCAUUGUGCCCAUGGACGACUUCAAGAUGGUCCUCGACAUGGAAUUCUUCGACCAAGUCCAUGCCUUCCCGCUGCCUGCUACGAACUCCCUAAGCAUCCUCGACGGGAGUAAGGCAUGCAUGGUUCCCACGGAAUGAGGGAAGUCCGAGGAGAAGAUACUCUCCGCCAUGCAAUUCAAAAGGGCUUUCAAGAAGGACCCAAGUUUCUUGGUCUCCAUUCGGGAACUAAACGAGGAAGGAAAUAGCAGAACCUCGCCAAGCCAAGUCCCUCCGCAAAUUCAAGCCGUCCUCAAUGAGUACAAGGACGUGAUGCCUCCAGAACUUUCGAAGAAGCUCCCACCUCAACGAGAGGUAGAUCAUGCAAUCGAGCUGGAACAAGGCGUGAAGCCACCAGCCUUGGUGCCCUACUGCAUGGCGCCACCCGAACUUGAGGAGUUGCGGGACAACUCAAAGACUUGCUGGACGCAUGCUACAAUCGCCCCUCAAAGGCCCCAUUUGGCGUACCGGUCAUUUUCCAAAAGAAAAAGGAUGGGUCGCUGCGAAUGUGCAUCGACUAUAGAGCGCUCAACAAGAUCACCAUCAAGAACAAGUAUCUGAUGAUUGUGGGCGGGAAACUUAUGAUGGAGAAUGCCAAGGUGAAUGCCAUCCUCGAAUGCGAACCUCCCUCGAAAGUGCUCGAGCUUCGCUCAUUCCUUGGGCUGGUGAAUUACUACCGUCGUUUCAUCAAGGGCUACUCAGCCAAGGCGGCACCUUUGACGGAUAUGCUCAAGAAAAAUAGAACGUGGCGUUGGUCCGAAGAGUGCCAACGCGCAUUCGAGGAGUUGAAGAAGGCAAUUUCGAAGGAAGCAGUCCUCGCCCUUCCGGACCACACCAAGCCCUUCAAAGUUUAAACGGAUGCCUCGGAUUUCACCAUAGGUGGAGUCCUUAUGCAAGAAGACCACCCUAUAGCGUUCGAGAGUCGAAAGCUAAAUGAUACGGAACGCUGCUACACAAUGCAAGAAAAGGAGAUGAUAGCCAUCAUACAUUGCUUGCGGGUGUGGCGACAUUACUUACUAGGUUCUCACUUCACGAUCAUGACGGACAACGUAGCGACGAGCUACUUUCAAACACAAAAGAAGUUGAGUUCGAAGCAAGCACGGUGGCAAGACUUCCUUGCGGAAUUCGACUAUCGGCUCGAGUACAAACCGAGUAAAGCCAAUGUCGUUGCAGAUGCUUUAAGCCGCAAGGCCGAAUUGGCAACACUUAGCAUGAGCCAACCAAAGUCCGACCUUGUCUCACGCAUCAAGGAAGGCCUCCAACAAGAUCCACUAGCAAAGGACUUGCUGGAGAAGGUGCUCGAGGGAAAGAUAAGGCGAUUUUGGCAAGAGGAAGGUAUCCUCCUCACCAAGGGAGGUCGGCUGUUCGUGCCAAGGUGGGGAAAUCUAUGGAAAGAAGUGAUCAAGGAGUGUCACGACUCCAAGUGGGUUGGUCAUCCAGGAAUUGAGCGCACCACCGCACUAGUCCAAGCCUCAUAUUUUUGGCCGCACAUGAGGGACGACAUCGAGGCAUAUGUACGAACUUGUCUUGUUAAGACAAGGUAGAUCAUCAAUUUCCAGUGGGAUUAUUGGAGCCAUUACCACUCGCAACAAGACCAUGGGAAAGUGUCUCCAUGGACUUCAUCACAUGGCUGCCCAAGUCCGAAGGGUGCGGCAGCAUCAUGGUCGUUGUUGACCGUUACAGAAAGUACGCCACUUUCAUUGCCGCACCAGCCAAUUGCAAAGCGGAUGAGGCAGCCCGCCUAUUCAUCAAGCACAUUGUGAAGCUUUGGGGAGUUCCGAAAAGCAUUGUGAGCGACCGAGACCCUCAGUUCACUGGGCGUUUUUGGACGGAACUCUUCAAGAUGUUGGGGACCGAUCUCAAGUUCUCGACAAGCUUUCACCCACAAACGGAUGGAUAAACCGAGCACAUCAAUGGCCUCCUCGAGAUGUACUUGAGGCAUUAUGUGAGCGCUCAUCAGCGGGAUUGGGCGAAACUACUCGACAUCGCCCAAUUUUCUUACAACUUGCAGCGAAGUGAGGCUACGGGCAAGAGUCCGUUCGAGAUCAUCAUGGGAUUCCAGCCUAUGACCCCUAACGCCAUAGCCUCAACUUACGGAGGGAAAAGCCCUACGACACACAAGCUCGCCCGCGAAUGGCACAAGGAAGUGGACAUCACGCGAGCGUAUCUUGACAAAACCGCGAGGAAAAUGAAGAAGUGGGCGGAUACAAGGAGACGGUAUGUUGAGUACAAGGAAGGUGAUCAAGUCAUGAUCAAGCUCCUACCCCAACAAUUCAAGACGUUGCGGAAAGUCCACAAGGGGUUAGUGAGGCGCUACGAGGGACCCUUUCGAGUUGUACGACGUGUGGGCAACGUCUCGUAUCAACUCCAACUUCCGCCAAGACUCAAGAUCCAUCCAGUCUUCCAUGUGAGCCUUCUCAAGCCAUACCAUGGAGAUGUGGAAGACCCGAGUCGCGGAGAAUCAAGGCGCGCACCAACCGCCGUUGUCACCGCAUUCGACAAAGAUGUGGACUACAUCUUUGCGACUCGGGUGGUUUCGAGGAGAGGCGUGCCACCAUACAACGAGUACUUGGUGAAGUGGAAAAACCUCCCCAAGAGCGAAGCCACUUGGGAACGUGAAAAUGAUUUGUGGCAAUUUGCUAAACACAUCCAGAAUUUCAAGCACGAGAGCGCAACGAGGACGCCGCGAGCUUAAGUGGGGGAGGAUGUUGCGGACCGCCCUAUUUGCUCACCAAGAGCCCAAGACAAAGCCAAGAGUGAUAGCUUGGCCCAAUUCCGGAAAGUUCUAGGCAACUCUAGCACGUUAAGCUUAUAAAUACUCUAGUAUUCUCUAUGCAUUUCCAGCACAUGUAAAUUCUAGAUAGUUGGUAGAUUUCUCUAGAAUCUCUAGAGCUUGGCAAGCCUCCCCUAUAAAUAUGGGAUGGCAUUAGGCAUUUGUACACAACAACAAGCAUUGAGCAAGCAACUCAAGCAUUGUAAAGCUCUCUUGUUAGCAAUACAAUUUCUCUCAUUUGGCUCCAUUGCUCUCUUCUCUCUAGCUCUUCGAAAACCUUUGGCUUAGCUAGUCGAGAAGCUCAAGGCUUACUUAGCAACAUUCGGCAAAGUUGUCUAAGUGCCGCACGGGUUAGUUGCGCAAAACACUCAUCCCGUGACAAUGAGCACACUUAAAUUUGAUGUAAAACUCUGUUUUAUCACAAAAUAGUCAAUGCAGAGACAAUACAAGACUACGAAAAAGAUUUGGAACGUUCUUACCACCCAUUACAUUUCAUCAAUGUGAUGCCCACUGACAGCAAAUUGAAAGUAGAUUGUUUCAUUCAAUCUUAAGACGUGUUUUAUUUUAAAUUCUUUUGUCUGCAUUUAUUUCUCAUUUUGUCGAAGAAAUUAUCAGUUGGAGAUGCAUUCUUGUUAAAUUUUUGCAUCAUCAUAACACCUCAAAACCAAAUAGUAUUAUAGUUGAUAGCUGUAAUUUAAAAGAUACAACACUCUUAUAAACACCAAAUAGUAUUGUGGUUGGGUAGCUAUAAUUUAAAAAUUACAAAACUCUUAAAAAUCACUUAGUUAUGCGAUUUGAAAGUUAAAUCUCUAUGAUAUAAAAUCUAUAAAAUCUUUAUUACUUUUGUGAAGGUUAUUAUUUAAAUGGCAUGUUUAUCACUCACUGUCUAUUUUUAUUUUAUUAUUACAAUUUGUUUCCUAUUUGGAAAUUAUGCAUUUGUUCUUGCCACAACGGGAUAUUCAUAAUGACGUACAAGGGAAAUGAAAUGGCUCCGAUCAUUUUAUGUGGUUGAUUUGGGCCGAGGCUCUUACCUUUGAGUGGGACUAUUAACACCCUUGUAACUUUCUUUUAAAACCCCUUUUCUACCUAAACCUACUUUGAUUCCCAAAAUAUCGUUUUCCACUUUUUCAGUUUCUUUUUUAUUCAAAAAGAAAAAUAAUUCAUUUUCCUCCAAACGGCUCUAAUUACAAAAAUAUUGUUUUUAUAAAUUUUUGAAUUAUUAAAUCAUAUAUUUUACUCAAAAAAAUCAGAUACAUGUAUGAAUUAAAUAGAAUUAAAGUUGACUUAAAUAGCUAUUGUUUAUUUUUUUAAAUUAAAAAUAAGAUUAGAAAGAAAAAGUUGAUUGUGAGGAAACAAAAAUUGUAUAAGACUUUGGUGUAAUUGUAUGGGUGUAAAGAGUUAGAGGGAGAAAUAUAAUGGUAUAAUUAAAAUUAUUUUGUCCUUUAAUAUAAUUGUAAUAGGAGAGGGGUUUUAUAAUGAUUUUAGACGGGUGCCAAUAGUUCAACUCCUUACCUUUUACUUUCAAUUUCUUUUGAACCCAUUACAAUUUUUCACUGUCCUGCCCUAACUCUAUGCAUGUACUUGAGUUGACUUGGGGUUUUAGGGAUUUUUUUUUAUUAAAAAAUGAGAGAAACUUGAUAUAUGAAAAAUAAUAAUACUCUAUCACUAUAUUAUCAUAAGUUGUAAAGAUAAAUAAUAAUGCUAAUUAGUAAAUUUUAUUUAGAUAAAGAUAAAAAUUAAUGAAUUAAAUAAGGAUAUUUUAAAGAAUAUUUUUUAACGGUGUCAUGCAGACGUUUUAGAUUAAGCAAAAAAAGAAAACCAACUUUUUAUUAAGUUGAAAUAACAAAUGAAUAUAGUUGAUUGAAAUUAAGUCAAUUAAGUCAUUAAAUUAAAAAAUUCAAAAGUUGAAACAACGAAUGAAUAUAAUUAACUAAAAUUAAGUCAAUUAAGUUAUUAAUAGGGAUGGCAAUGGGAGUGGAGGGAAGAGGACCGACAUCUCUAUACCCAUUCUCGAUAUUUUUCAUAUGCCGUUGUCCAAUUCCCAUUAGAAUUCCUUGAGGGAGAGGGGAUAGAAACUCCAAAUAACAACAAGGGACCCCCGAGAGUCCCCACUCUCUUAAUAAUUGAUACGUUUUCAUUUUUUCAACUUGAUUUAGUCACAUUAAAAUAAAAAAUUUAAAUAAAGUUUGACAAAAUAUCUUACAUUAACAUUAAUCUAUUACACAAGUCACACUACAAAAUACAAAUCAUUAAAAUAAUUAUCAUCGUCAAUCUUCAUAAUUUAAGACAAAAAAAGGAAUUACUUUUAUAUCAUUAAUGAAAUAAUGAAAAAGAUAUUGAUACUUAAAUAAAUGAGAAGGGAGCGACGUGCUACUGAGCUAUGAUGAUAUGAGACAAGUUGGGUGAUGGAUGCGACCCGAAUAAUUUGGAAAUGAUAAGUGAGACUGUAAGCGAGUUGCUUAGAGUUUAAUUUGUGGAUUGUGUGCUUAUGGGGUUGUGGGACUUGGACUGUGAUUAAGUUUAAAUUACAUUUAAGUCUUUAUAUUAAUUAAUAUUUAUAUUAUUUGUAUAAAUAUUUUGAUAUUUUUUAUUUACACCAAUAUUUAAUAUUUUAUUAUUUAAAUUUUAUUAUUUAUUCACUAAUAAUUCCAAAAGAUAAAAAUAAAAAUGGGGAAAUGAGGAGGAGAUGUGAAUUACAUCUCAUCCUCAUCUCUUCUCUUAAUAAGAAAUUGAGUGAAAAAUCAUUUUCGUCUCUUCUCCAAGUAAAAAAUUAGGUAUAAAACCAUCCCUCCGUCCCUCUUCACGGGGAUUCGUGAGAAAUGACUUUGCUCUUUUACAAUAUAAAUUUUACCUUUAUAUCUCAAUAAAGCAGCGAAUUAUCGCAGAUUUAUGGUAUCAAGCUGAAUUAGAUGGAUUCCUUACUGAUCACUUGCUCUUAGUUUUGGAACUUAUGAAUUUAGAGGGUAGGAUACUCAAUAUAACUUUAUAAGUCAUCUCAGACAUUUCUAAGCUGCUUUGUGUCGAAAGAAAAUCAAAAUUUACCUUCAUUGAUGGAGAAAAGCACAGGCCAGGUAUUUCACCGGCCCUUUUAAACGCUGCGGAAGGUUCACAGAUUUCAGUGAUCAUUUUCUCGAAGGACUACGCUUCUUCGAUACGGUGCCUGACUGAACUUGUCAAGAUUCUUGAAUGCAACAACAUGGUUGGCCAAAUGGUGGUGCCAGUUUUCUUUCACGUAGAUCCAUCUGAUGUGCGGAACCAGACUGGUAGUUUCAAGGCUGCCUUUGUUAAGCAUGAAGAACAGUUCAAGAAAAUGCCAGAAAAGGUUCAGAAAUGCAGGGCUGUGUAAUCAGAACCAUCCAAUCUAUCAGAACGGAAUUCCAUGACAAUCAGAUAUCUCCUUAACUCUUUCAAGUAUUAAAGAUUAAUUAAUUGGAAGAAAGAAUAGGUACGAUGCAGGACCCUUCCCCCCCCCCCCCCCNNNNNNNNNNNNNNNNNNNUUUUCAUCUUUGUUCUUGCUAGUUCGGAGGAAGAACUUGUGAACAAAAUUGGAGGACAAUUAGAUUAUUUUAUUGGAAGAUUCGAUCAAUUUGGUUCAAGAAGUCGAAUUACUGUAACCACUAGAGAUAAGCGAGUCGUUGAAACAUUUAGAGUGGAGAAAAUAUAUACGGUUAAUGGUUCGGACUUUCACGAGGCUUUUGAGCAAUUUUUGUAACCACGCCUUCAAAGAAAAUCAUUCUUCUGAAGAUCUCAAAGGGCACUCGUGGGGGUUGUAGAGUAUUCCGAAGGCAAUCCAUUAAUUCUUAGGGUGUUGGGUUCCUCCCUCCGUCUGAAGAACAAAAUAAAUUGGAAAAUAUUUUGAAUGACUUAAGUUGGAUUUGUAGUUCUGAUAGUUGUGAUAUGUUAAAGAUUAAUUUUAAUGAAUUAACGCCACAGGAGAAGAGUAGGUUUCUAGAUAUUGCGUGUUUCCUUGAUGGAGAAGAUAAAGAUUUUGGGACAAGGAUACCAGAUGAUUCUGUCUUAUGGACUGGAUGUCAUCAUUGAUGAAUCACCCAUAAUAAUAUCCCAUAUCAGGUUGCUAAUGCAUGACUUAUUGCAAGAAAUGGAACCAGAUAUAUAUUCUCUGCAAUGAGUCUGUCCAAGAGCCUGACAAACGUAGCAGGCCAUGGGAUUGGGAUCAUAUGGCUGUCUAUCGUGUGCUAAAGCAAAAUAAGGUAAGACUUUACCUUUUUUAUCUUUUUCGUUUGGGGGCUAAAUGCCCUCAUAUUUUUCCUAAUCACACCCAUCUUUUUCUUUAUUUAUUAUUACCAAAACAUCAUUCGAUUAUCAUUUCAUUUGAUAAUUAUGUUGAACAGUUUAAGCGCAUUUCAAAUUUCUUAGUAAUAGGUAAAGAUUGUGUUCAAACUUAAAAGCAUUUAUUAGGUCAGGUUUUCAGGUAAUUAAACGCAUUGUUUCUAUGCACGCUCUAUCAAAUGAGAACACGAUUGCAGUAACUGAACGUUAAUUAGAUCAAUCAGUGAUGCUAUGAUCUAAAAGUUUUAUCUUCUCAACUUCUCCAUAAAACUUUCAGAUUAGAAGAAGAAAGUGAAGGCGAACAAGUUUUUGAAUUUUAUUUUUUUGAAAUAUUAUGUAAGAGUGUUUAAACUUUAGAGUAUAAUUUUCUUUUUUGAAUUAAGUACAGGGUGUCGAAGCAAAGUGAGUGCUAUGACGAUUUAAAAGGGUGCAAAUGGUUCUUGUAUUUUUUUUUUCAAACAAAAAAUGAUUGAAUGCAGAUUUUUUCUACAGUUAGGGAGGUCUUAUUAAAUUUUAUGAUUCUUUUUUUUUUUUUAUGCUACUUCAUUCUUUGCUUUUGUUUAGGGCACUGAUUAAAUUGAAGGCAUAUUCCUUAGUUUUUCCAAAACAAAAAACGUCCAUCUAAGUUCUCAGGUCUUUGUUAAUAUGUCAAAUUUAAGAUUGCUUAAAUUCUACGUGCCAGAGAGUUUUGGUGUUCCACUUACAACCUCUGAAGUGUAUAUUGACCAAGGUUUAGAAUACCUUCCAAAAAAAUUGAGAUAUCUUCAUUGGCACGGAAACCACCCAUUGAGAACAUUGCCAUCGAGUUUUAAGCUAAAGAUCUUUAUUGAGCUCAAUUUACCUUUGCGAAGGAAAAAUGGUGUGAUCUAAUAAUAUAAAGAACAAUAAGUUUUUCUUUUUUAAAAUACAAAUUAUUAGUUAUGAAGUUCACUUAUACUAAUUUAAUGUUGUCUUUGUUUAUCUUUUUCAAGAUAUAACCUAAAAGAUACAACACUUUUUUAUAAAUAUUUAUUGUUGUGGUUUUAAAAGAUUAAUUAAUUUUAUCAAACUCAUGAUAAUAAAAAUUAAUAAAAUCUUUAAUAUUUUUAUCAAAAGUAUUAUAUACAAAAAAAUUUUAUUUAGCAUACAUUAUUAAUUUUUAUUUUAUUGUUAUAAUUUUUAUUACAAUAACUAUGGCUUUUAAGUCAUAGCGCCUUAAUAUAAAACUGUGCCUAAAUAGAGCUUAUAACAGUAGAGCUUAUACCAAUAGAGCUUAUACCAAUAGAGCUUUUGGACAAAAAGUCAUUGGGUGUUAAGUCCAAUUCGCGUUCGCGUCUCCUAUCUCUCUUAAAAACCACUCUAAUUUAAAGAGGCAUUAUUUGCAGUGCAUUAACUAUAAAAUGUCAAGCUUUAAUCUCAAAACAAUACUAGAAAGUGUAUGGAUAAGAUAGCGUCGCAAUACUUUCCACGGUUCCACUAUAUAUAAACACAUAAUAUAUUUCCUCUACGUUACAACCACUCUUAACUUAAAGAGGCAUCAUAGGAUUCAUUGUUUGCAGUGCAUUAAAUAGAGCUUAUAACAGUAGAGCUUAUAACACUAGAGCUUAUACCAAUAGAGCUUUUGGACAAAAAGUCAUUGGGUGUUAAGUCCAAUUCGCGUUCGCGUCUCCUAUCUCUCUUAAAAACCACUCUACAAAAGCUCAAAUUUUGGGCUUUUGCUAGUAGAGGUAAAUUAGCUUAUUUAAGCUAAAAAAACUCUACUAAGUGCCUGUUUGAUAUGGCUUAUUUAAGAGCCAUAAGUGCUUAUUUAAUCGCAUAAGCAUUUUUUAAAAAAAUUUAUGGUGUUUGGUUAUUUUUUUAGUAGAGUUUUUUUAGCUUAAAUAAGUUAAUUUACCUCUACUAGCAAAAGCCCAAAAUUUGAGCUUUUGGGAGUAGAGUUUAGAGAGCUUAUCUAAAAAAUAUAUAAUAAAAAAAAUAUCAUACAGUUUAAUGAUUCAAAAGUAUUUUUUUUAUUGACAACCAAACACCCAAUGAUUUUUAUCCAAAAACUCUAUUGGUAUAAGCUCUACUGCUAUAAGCUCUAUUAUUAUAAGCUCUAUUUAAUAAGCUGUACCAAACGGAGCCUAAAAAAAUAACCAAACACUAUAAAAAUUUUUAAAAAGUACUUAUACGAUUAAAUAAGUACUUAUGACUCUUAAAUAAGCCAUACCAAACAGGCACUAAAUAUAAAGAUUAUGCAUACCAUGGUACCACACAGGAGUAUAAUAGUGACAUGCAAGACAAAUUAAAUGGCCUUUAGCCGUUUAACAUUGAUGAGGGUGACUUGCUGUAUAAAGAUAUAAAGUCCUUGUUGGGCCACCAAGCGCUUUUGCAUUAUUCUUUGGGUUUGAUACAACCGUUCUAUUGUAAGUGGACCUUUUCAAGUUUCAUUUUUUUUUUUUAACCCACCUCGUUUGUUUCUGUCCUAUCCUAGCUUUAUGCAUGCUUGACUAGACUUGGGCUUACUGCAGAAAAUUUUACCGAUGGUUCAAUGAGAGAAAUAAUGAUACAUGCCCUAACGGUGAUACACGGUAGCAGUGAGCAUUUGGUUCGGGUUAACCCGAAUCGAACUAAACCUAAAUUAUAUUUUGGAUUUUAGCUUAGUUCAAUAGGGUUGAAAUUUCAAAAUCAGUCGGAUUAUAUUUUGGUUCGAAUUAGGAUCUAACUGAAUAAGUAAUCCUAUUGGGAUAAAAUUAAAAAAAUUGAAAAAAUACCGUCCCUUAAUAGUCUAAUUCUAAUUGAAAGUUUCCCACAAAUACAAGUACACGCACAAAUGCAGCCACUGCCAAAAAUUUGUUCUUAAACGCUCAUCCCUACACACGAGUGAUCGAAGCAAUGUAACUAUACAGUGAACAGUAUAUCAUUUUGUCUACUAUAGUGUACGAAAGUAAAGUUAGGGCUUAGUAUUAGUAUUCGAACAACUUACAUUGUUGGUCGCACAACUUUGUUGAGGUGACGCGUCUUCCCAACGAGAGCCUCUCGGGCAGGUCAGAUGAAUCCACCAGUAAGGUAAGACCCAGCAAAUUUUAAAGGAACUGAUUUUCUUUUUCCUUUUUUUCUUUUCUUUUUUUUUUUACAAACAUUGAAUUGGUGGGUCCCAUAAUUGGACCCACUAAACUUGGCCAAAUAGUUGAUUAUGAUUGGUUGAAUCUUAAAAACUAAUUUGUUCUUUCACAAUAUAAAUUUUAAAUCGAUCAUAAAAUAUCUCAAUAAUGCAGCUAGUUAGAUAGAAUCAGUACUCAUCUCUUGCUCUUAGUUUUCAAAACUUAUGAAUUUAGAGUUGGAGGUAGUAAAUGGCUAAAUGUUGCUCAAAUCUUAGUACAAACUCAAAGAUACUCUGACAUCAAAUUCAGUUAUUGAUUGCAUCAAAUUUUUACAUUAUUACUUUUCUUUUUUGUCUGUCACUCUCUAUUAUUAUCAUCAAAAUGUGUCGGUACUGAUAUGAGUAGGGGUGGGUAUGGGUUGGUUUGGUUUGGAUUUUAAGUCAAUCCAAAUCAAAUCAUAAAAUUUUAAACUCAACUCAAACCAACCCAAAUAUUUUUAACUCAACCCAAACCAACUCAUUUGAAUUUGGUUUGGGUUUGGAUUGAUUUUAAUUUUCACACUCUUUGCAGCGCUUGGUUUGGUUUCAUUCAUAUAUUAUCAUAUACGCUGCAUUACUUUCAACAGCGGAACAGUGCCACUGACCACUACUAGAUACAGAAAAGGCAUGUCACCCAAUAUUUUUUAUAAUCAAAAUAUUUUUUACUCACCACAUACGAGCUUGAAUUUUAUUCUAAUUCAAGUAAUUGGAUUGAAUUAGAAUAAUAAUUAAUUAUGAUUAAUUAUUAAAUUAAUAUUAAAAUAUGAAAAAAUAUUGUGGAUAAAAAAUUAAACAUAUAUACUUAAUUUAUUAUUUUCUCAAUACUUAAUUUAUUAAACAUCUUAUUAUAGAAUAUUUUGUGUUAUUUGUCAUGUAGCAGGGGAGGCCAGAUAUCUGUGGCUAAUCCAAUGUUCAUCUCUCUUCCACUGAAUAAUUUAUUACUGUAAAACGAUAGGAGCCCAGCUUUUAUUGCUAUUGCUAGCUAAUAUUGGAUGGAAUAAGUGUCAGGAUGAAGCUGAAACAAGAGUCAAAAUUUCACUAUUAUCUAAAAAUAAGAGCCACCACAACAAUAACAAAAGCAAAAAAAAAUUGAAGCAGAGCCUCACCUUAAAUCAUUAGGAGUUUAGGACGAUAGCAAUCGAAGUGGGGGCUUUAGGAGUUCAUGACAAUGAGAGAUCCACGAUGUCACUUUUGUCGAUAGAGAUUGUAGAAGAUGGAGAUAGAUCAGAGAAAUUAAGCGGAUUGUUUAUUUAUUUAUUUUUUAUACCCACAGAUUUUGGGGAAGAGCCAAAGAGGGAGCGGUUUGUUUAUUUUGUUUAACUCAUUUUGUUUAGUUUUAAAAAUUUAUUCUUGGCCAUGGGUUAACCAUACCCAAACCAUUAUAAAAUGGUUUCAUACAUAAAAAUUCAAAUUCAACACAUUUUUAUGAUUUACCAAACCCAAAUUAUUUUAUUUGGUUUGAGUUUGGGUAAACCCAUGGGUUAUGGGUUUAUGUCCACCCCAUAGAUAUGAGAAAUAAGAAUCAAAAUAAAUUAUUUAUUUAAGUUUUAAGAAUUAGAAUUGAAAUAAAUAGUGUUUCCAUUAGUAUGUCUACUUUAUCUUAAAAUCAAAAUGGACUAUUAUAAAUUACUAAAAUCCUCUUAGGUAAUCAUCAUUAUUAUUAUUAUUAUUAUUAUAGUAAUAACAAUGAUAGUAAUAAAAAUAAUAAUAGUAGUGAAAAUAAGAAUAAUAAUGACAAUAAUAAUAAAAAUAACAACAUCAACAAUGAUAAUAAUAAAGGACGUAUUUGAAAAUAUAUAAAAAUUUUGGACAUUUCUAUAAUACCAUAAACCGGCCUACAGCUGGACCCGACUCACACAAGUGUUAUCGUAAACACUCAUGCUCAAUUCUUCUUCACUGGAAAGAAAAACGCACACGGUUUCAGCUAAGAAGUCAAUGAAGCUGCUACGAAAUUGUUGAAUGAGAAAAAAAGUGUUUUCAGACGAAACUAGAUGCCAUGAAACCUCCUAAAGCUAUAUCAUGCCCAAUUCUUCUUCACUUGAAAAGAAAAACACACGCGGUUUCAGCUAAGAAGUCAAUGAAGCUGCUACGAAAUUGUUGGAUGAGAAAAAAAGUGUUGGCAGACGAAACUAGCUGCCAUGAAACCUCCUAAAGCAUCUAUAUAUAUAUUUUCAUCCUGUGAACUUGUCGUGAAUUCUUCUUCUUUUGAUGAAGUUCGUAAAAUGACUGAAAGCAACACUAUACAACUUUCGAAUGGCGUUCAGGUAUAUAUAUAUCAUAAUAUUAUAUGUUUGUCUAAUCAUGUUUCAGUUAUAAAUGUUUAAUUAAUUAUUUCUCAUAUACAUGUACAUGCUAAUUACUGAUUUGUCUUGGCCUUACUUGAUUGUCCCACAGAAAACUAAGAUCUAUUUUCGGGGAGAUGAUGAAGAGAUAAUAAACCUGAAAAGUCUUCCAGCUAAAAUUCAUUCAGGAUUUCUUAAAAAAGUUGAUCUUAUAGGCUGCUCAAAACUGGAAAAGCUUCCGCAGAUCCUUCAGAUCUUAUUCUCAGCUGGUAUAGAAUAUUGUACACCUCCGUUGCAGAAUCAAGAUUCUGUAACUCUUUCGAGCAGCCCACCCAAUUCGCAAUUGGUGCUAGUUCUAUCUUUCCCUUGAUUACUUUUGUUUAUUAAAAUGUUUCAUGAAGGGUAAUUAAUUUUUACUCCUUUUUUUGGCGAGGAAACUCUAUUUAGUGCCAUGAGUUUGCUUUCUUGCUUCUAUAUUAUUCAUGGAAACUGUUGCUACUUUAGAUUUUUGUUGGGAUUUAGUUGAUAAAAUUUUGAUUGAGCAUUAUUAAUUACACUGUUACUCCAAAAAAAUUACUUCUGCUUUUGAGAGGAAAUAAUUUCACUUAAUUAAAUGAAAAUUAUUUUCUUUGCUUUUCUAUUAAUUGUCCCAAAAAAACUGUGCUCGGUUCACUUAUUGUUCUCAAAUGCUGUUCAAGUUCUAAUUAAUUAAUUAGUAAAUAUAUAAGACAAAUGUGAAAUCUCUUUCCUUAGUUUAAAUAAAUUAGACAAAUAAUCUUUACUUUCUAACUUAGUAAUUCGUUGUGAAUAAUUAAUAUAUGAGACAAUUAACAAGAACUACUAAUUAAAAAAAGAAGAAUUAUGAAUUAACCUGUGCAGAGAGACCGAUCACAUCGGACACAUCUGCUUACCACAGAAGCAGAGUUGGGCUCAACAUCGCCGCCGCUAUCACCUAGCCACUCAUCAUUGCUGCUGCGAUCGCCUAGCUACUCAUCAUCGCCGCCACGAUCGCCUUCAUGGGCAAAACCACGUCCUCUACAUUCACCAUGGCCGCCGCCUUCAUGGGCUCAACCUCAUCCUCCCCAUCAGCUACAGGUGAACUCUCUUCCUUUAUUUUCUCCUGCUUUCACAUGGAUAGCUACAGCUUACAUGUACUACUAUCAUUUUACCCGUGCGAUUGCUAUUGCAUGUAACUGUAUAUACUAAUUAGCGUAACAUGACCCAACCGGAAAAAAAAAAUUUGUCUUAUAAUAAUUUUUUUUUGUCCUAUAAUGAUGGUGGACCAACUGUAGUAAAUAUAUUAUUAUUCAUUACUGAAUUAUGUAUACCGAUAAAAUAGAUUUCACUUUUAUUGGUUUACGAGCACAGAUGAUCAAAUUUAUACAUAAUCAUAUUACACAAAUGCUCUUUAAGUUCACAAAAUAAUUUGUAUAAUAUCAACGUGAAAGUGCUUGGAAUAUUGUUAUUGUUUCCUUAUCUAAUGAAAUCACUGAAUUUUGUGAACUAAAAAAGAAUUUUAGUGAGCGCAUUAAAUUUUAAAGACUAAACAGUAUUUAGAACUUUUAAAUAUCGAUUUUCUGAAUUUUACUCUUGAAGGUCAAUCGAUCAUAGAAUUAUCUUGUUUUUGCAGCUAUACUUUUUCUUCUAAUUAAGGUAAUUUUCAGUUGCUUACCGGAACGCCAUGAGUUUAUUUCACUUUUUUUUUAUAUAGGACGUUGAUUUAGAGUGGAUCUUUGUAAUCACCAACUUUGUCCUGGAGAUUCCAUCGGCGGUUUUUGACCAACUCUCUUCUGCGCGGAAACCUCAGUAUGUGCUUUUGGGUAUGUUACUGUCAUUUGCAGCCCUGGUUGUAUGCCUUGUGGAACUCAUUUACACAUGCCAAAAGCAAAAAGUUGUGUGGAGAUGGAAGGGCACAUUACCUUGGCCUUGGUUCUAUUAUCGGUCGCGUAACAGGCCUUUUGGUAACUUCAAGGAUAUUAUUGGACUGGUCUGUGCCCUCUGUCAGUGCAUUUUUGCUGCAAUUCAUUAUAGUUUUGCUCGCCGACAUGCUGAUUCUCCGAUAAAAAUUUGUUUCUGGCCUUUGGUGUUUGCUUUUGGUCUAUUAUGCUCCAAGGUUUUAGCCAAGUAAUUAAUCCAAAGAGGGCUAUUUCAUUGAGAUGAGACGCUGGCUUCAUC